rnacentral:rRNA from 1 species
UACGUAGGGUGCAAGCGUUAAUCGGAAUUACUGGGCGUAAAGCGUGCGCAGGCGGUGAUGUAAGACAGGUGUGAAGUCCCCGGGCUUAACCCAGGGCCUGCAUCGGAAACUGUCGGGCUUGAGUAUGGGAGAGGUGAGUGGAAUUUCCGGUGUAGCGGUGAAAUGCGUAGAUAUCGGAGGGAACACCUGUGGCGAAAGCGGCUCACUGGACCAUUACUGACGCUGAGGCACGAAAGCUAGGGGAGCAAACAGG